CCAAAGGCUCUUUUCAGAGCCACCCACCUAAUCACCAGAAAGAGCU
rfam:Myotis brandtii contig211816, whole genome shotgun sequence.